rnacentral:misc_RNA from 1 species
AACGCACAUUGCGCCCAUCAGUAUUCUGAUGGGCAUGCCUGUUCGAGCGUCAUUUCAACCCUCAAGCCUCCGGGCUUGGUGUUGGGGAUCGGCCCGCCCACUCCGCGGCGCGCCGGCCCUGAAAUCUAGUGGCGGUCUCGCUUGCAGCCUCCUCUGCGUAGUAGCAACACCUCGCACCGGAACGCAGCGUGGCCACGCCGUUAAACCCCCCACUUCUGAAGGUUGACCUCGGAUCAGGUAGGAAUACCCGCUGAACUUAA